CCCUUAGAUGUUCUGGGCAGCACGCGCGCUACAAUGGUCUUCGCAAACGGAUGCAUUCUCGAAGGAGAAUGCCAAUCUUGGAAUCUAUGCCUUGGUCGGGACAGUUGCUUGCAAUUUUUCGACACGAACCAGGAAUUCCUUGUAAUCGUGAUUCAUCACAUCACGAUGAAUACGUCCCUGCCCUUUGUACACACCGCCCGUCGCUCCUACCGAUCGAAGAGUUAGGUGAAUUGUUUUGAUCGAUAAGAUUUGACUAUGGUCAACUCUCGUUGUGAAAUUCUGUGAAUCUGACUGUUUAGAGGAAGGAAAAGUCGUAACA
rnacentral:rRNA from 1 species